GAUGAACGCUAGCUACAGGCUUAACACAUGCAAGUCGAGGGGCAGCAUGGUCUUAGCUUGCUAAGGCCGAUGGCGACCGGCGCACGGGUGAGUAACACGUAUCCAACCUGCCGUCUACUCUUGGACAGCCUUCUGAAAGGAAGAUUAAUACAAGAUGGCAUCAUGAGUCCGCAUGUUCACAUGAUUAAAGGUAUUCCGGUAGACGAUGGGGAUGCGUUCCAUUAGAUAGUAGGCGGGGUAACGGCCCACCUAGUCUUCGAUGGAUAGGGGUUCUGAGAGGGAGGUCCCCCACAUUGGAACUGAGACACGGUCCAAACUCCUACGGGAGGCAGCAGUGAGGAAUAUUGGUCAAUGGGCGAGAGCCUGAACCAGCCAAGUAGCGUGAAGGACGACUGCCCUAUGGGUUGUAAACUUCUUUUAUAAAGGAAUAAAGUCGGGUAUGGAUACCCGUUUGCAUGUACUUUAUGAAUAAGGAUCGGCUAACUCCGUG
rnacentral:rRNA from 1 species